AUUGAACGCUGGCGGCAGGCCUAACACAUGCAAGUCGAGCGGGGUUUUCGGACCUAGCGGCGGACGGGUGAGUAAUGCGUAGGAAGCUACCCGAUAGAGGGGGAUACCAGUUGGAAACGGCUGUUAAUACCGCAUAAUGUCUACGGACCAAAGUGUGGGACCUUCGGGCCACAUGCUAUCGGAUGCGCCUACGUGGGAUUAGCUAGUUGGUGAGGUAAUGGCUCACCAAGGCGACGAUCCCUAGCUGGUUUGAGAGGAUGAUCAGCCACACUGGAGCUGAGCCACGGUCCAGACGCCUACGGGAGGCAGCAGUGGGGAAUAUGGGACAAUGGGCGCAAGCCUGAUCCAGCCGUGCCGCGUGUGUGAAGAAGGCCUUCGGGUUGUAAAGCACUUUCAGUAGGGAGGAAGGGUUAAGUGUUAAUAGUACUGAACUUUGACGUUACCUACAGAAGAAGCACCGGCUAACUCUGUGCCAGCAGCCGCCGUAAUAC
rnacentral:rRNA from 1 species